rnacentral:rRNA from 1 species
UUAGAGUUUGAACCUGGCUCAGGACGAACGCUGGCGGCGUGCCUAAUACAUGCAAGUCGAGCGGACAGAAGGGAGCUUGCUCCCGGAUGUUAGCGGCGGACGGGUGAGUAACACGUGGGUAACCUGCCUGUAAGACUGGGAUAACUCCGGGAAACCGGAGCUAAUACCGGAUAGUUCCUUGAACCGCAUGGUUCAAGGAUGAAAGACGGUUUCGGCUGUCACUUACAGAUGGACCCGCGGCGCAUUAGCUAGUUGGUGGGGUAAUGGCUCACCAAGGCGACGAUGCGUAGCCGACCUGAGAGGGUGAUCGGCCACACUGGGACUGAGACACGGCCCAGACUCCUACGGGAGGCAGCAGUAGGGAAUCUUCCGCAAUGGACGAAAGUCUGACGGAGCAACGCCGCGUGAGUGAUGAAGGUUUUCGGAUCGUAAAGCUCUGUUGUUAGGGAAGAACAAGUGCGAGAGUAACUGCUCGCACCUGACGGUACCNNNCAG